rnacentral:misc_RNA from 1 species
UCUGCACCACUUCUCACCAUAUUUAAAAAUUCAUAAACAUCUAUUCUACCCUCUUGAUUCAAACAGGCCUCCUUCCGGUCCCAAAGCAAAUCAAAUCGUGAUCCUGUACCAACUGCCACACAUUUACCCCACGAACAAGAAGCAACUAUGCUCGAUAAAGUAUCCACAUGACACUUCUCUGCAGCUCUCUCAAAACAUUUUCUUGGGGUAAAGAGUGUUGCCUCAGU